UAUUGUUGAACUUUGGUUUGGAUUUCAUUGACUGUGGAUCUCCCCAAAGUUGCAGAGGUACAGAAGCCAAUUACUUAUUUGCUGAGGAUCUCCCACCAGUGCUUUGGGUUUCUCAGUGUGGGGGCCUGAAGCUGACUGCUCAGUGGUCUUCUCAACUGCCAGUUUUGACAACACCCUGACCCAUACUUCCUGUACCAAAGGUCAGAAGUCUCAAACCAUCGCCCAGGAACAACAGACAGGCAGAUCACUUCAUGAUGAAACUGCCAGCCCCCACCGGUUUCAGCUAGGCAUGACCAUCUCAUGAGAACUGAGCCAACCCUCUCCAGGACCACACUUCUGAUAGGUAAACAUCCUGGCCUGGGAAGCAGAGAUCAACAGCAGCAAUUUCCUUGGAACCAGUAAGACUCUGCCACCAGGACUGAGAUAAUGAUCAACCAGACAGGUUUGAUCAACACUGCUCACCUCUCACUCCUGCCCCAACUUACUCUCUAUUUAAACCUAAAGUUCUUGUCAGUCCCCCUGAGGAUAGGGCUGAGAUGCUUAAUCUCACUGUCUUCCCAAUAUGGCUAUAUUGAUUAAAGUUCCUUUUGUGUUUUCA